CAAAGUAAGAUCUACAAAUAAGUCAACAUGAGCAAAAUGGGCAAUUGACCCCUUAAGGAGUUAUUGCCCUUUAAAGUCAAUUUUAACAAUUUUCAUAAAUUUGGAAAAUUUUGGUAAAUGUUUACAAAAUGUUUUUCUCUCUAACUACUGGGCAAAGUGCAUUAUAUAUAUAUAUAUAUAUAUAUAUAUUGUUAACAGCAAGAGUGUUCAGUAAAGUAAUAUCUACAAACACAUCAACAUCACCAA
rnacentral:lncRNA from 1 species